rnacentral:rRNA from 1 species
AACGAACGCUGGCGGCAUGCCUAACACAUGCAAGUCGAACGAACCCUUCGGGGUUAGUGGCGCACGGGUGCGUAACGCGUGGGAAUCUGCCCUUUGCUUCGGAAUAACAGUUAGAAAUGACUGCUAAUACCGGAUGAUGUCUUCGGACCAAAGAUUUAUCGGCAAAGGAUGAGCCCGCGUAGGAUUAGGUAGUUGGUGGGGUAAAGGCCUACCAAGCCGACGAUCCUUAGCUGAUCUGAGAGGAUGAUCAGCCACACUGGGACUGAGACACGGCCCAGACUCCUACGGGAGGCAGCAGUGGGGAAUAUUGGACAAUGGGCGCAAGCCCUGAUCCAGCAAUGCCCGGCGUGAAGUGAUGAAGGCCUUUCGGGU